GAUGAACGCUGGCGGCGUGCCUAAUACAUGCAAGUCGAGCGAACGGACGAGAAGCUUGCUUCUCUGAUGUUAGCGGCGGACGGGUGAGUAACACGUGGAUAACCUACCUAUAAGACUGGGAUAACUUCGGGAAACCGGAGCUAAUACCGGAUAAUAUUUUGAACCGCAUGGUUCAAAAGUGAAAGACGGUCUUGCUGUCACUUAUAGAUGGAUCCGCGCUGCAUUAGCUAGUUGGUAAGGUAACGGCUUACCAAGGCAACGAUGCAUAGCCGACCCGAGAGGGUGAUCGGCCAGACGGGAACUGAGACACGGUCCAGACUCCGACGGGAGGCAGCAGUAGGGAAUCUUCCGCAAUGGGCGAAAGCCUGACGGAGCAACGCCGCGUGAGUGAUGAAGGUCUUCGGAUCGUAAAACUCUGUUAUUAGGGAAGAACAUAUGUGUAAGUAACUGUGCACAUCUUGACGGUACCUAAUCAGAAAGCCACGGCUAACUACGUG
rnacentral:rRNA from 1 species